CGGAGGCGAGACCUCCCUCUUCUCACCUGAGUAAAGCUGGGCUGGGCCUGGCCACUCGCAGGUAUCCACACCAGGAACCGUUUUAGCCAGCCUGGGGCUGCUUUUGGAGUCGCAGCUGCUUCCGCCUUCUCUCCCGAGAAUGAGUCAGUUGCUGACAGACUCCUAGGAUCUCUCACCAUCUUCCUGUUGCCCCUUCCCCUCUGAAGAUCAAAGCUCACCUCAAGAGAACCUCCAGAAGGAAGAAAUAGCCAGCGGAUCCCCCAGGGCCAGGCAGGAAAAGCAAGUAAACAAGUGAUUGACGCACUUUGUAGACAAGCUGGAGGGGCCGCCAUGCAGUCUCUGCUGGGGAUGGAAAAACUGAGACGGGGGGAGCAGAGACUUACAUAAUCACACACCUCGAGAGAAGCAGAGUCAUCUCUGGAAUGCAGGUCUCAUGGCCGCCAGGCCCACCCUACACAGCGCCUGGGUUCAGUCAGCCUGGAGGCAGAGGAAUGAAGAGUUUGACAUAUGUAACCUCAGCAGCUCGAAGUGAACAGGUCACAUCUCCAGCAACGGAGCUCACUCUCUUUUGCCCCUGCCUUUGCUAGAUGUCUCUGAUGGGAGGGGAUUCGAACUGUGAGGCUGCUGUGUCCCCUGCCCUCCACCUGGUCACCACAGACCCUGGCAGAGAAGAUGGGGCACUAGAGUUCCACUUUACUAGAAGCCCCAGAGCCUUCCCGGCUGAGUUUGAGAACUCCUCCUGGGCAGACGGAUUUCACUGAGAUUUUACUCUGAAAUGGCCCCAUUGUGCUCCGGGUGGCGCCACGGAGGUGGGAGCAGCGCGGUGAGGAGGCUGCGGUCUGAGCCUCCGAGCUAUGAAGCUGGACACUGCCUUCUCCACCCUGGCAGAGAAUGGGCUGGCUUACCAACAGAGAGGAUUACACAGCUGAGGCAGGGGAUUAAGUGCAAGUCUGAACACUGAACGUCACCAACAUCAGGUGUUCCAGGCAGCCUACGAGAGACUCAGCAAAGACAGGUAAUUUGAAUUGAAUGGAUCGUGAUGUCAACACCCCAGACGGAGCAGCUCAGCUGGCCAGAGCUGCAGGUGAAGGAAUCUAAGAACGAGGAGGAAGUUUAACAUAACUGCAGGUAAACACAAAUUUCAAUGCAGAAUGAAAACACAGGCAAGGAUGGAUUGGCAGGAGAUGCCAGAAACCCAGAUCAGACUGGCCCUCUGA